rnacentral:lncRNA from 1 species
CCAAAGCUCCUUCGACGGCGCCGCCUAGGAACGCGGAGAAAAUAUGACAAAGGAACGGCCAAAAAUAAAAAGAAAGACCUUUCUUUUGAAAAAACAAACAAAAAAAGGAAUGCAACACGAGGACUUCCCAGGAGGUCACCCAUCCUAGUACUACUCUCGCCCAAGCACGCUUAACUUCAAAGUUAGGUAGUCAUCCGGUGCUUUAGUGCUGGUAUGAUCGCAUCCGACAUACCGUGCGUUCUCCUCCCCUUUAUGCCCGCGCCUCCGUGUACGGCCCGCCCAUAGCUCCUUCGACGGCGCCGCCUAGGAACGCGGAGAAAAUAUGACAAAGGAACGGCCAAAAAUAAAAAGAAAGACCUUUCUUUUGAAAAAACAAACAAAAAAAGGAAUGCAACACGAGGACUUCCCAGGAGGUCACCCAUCCCAGUACUACUCUCGCCCAAGCACGCUUAACUUCAGAGUUCUGAUGGGAUCCGGUGCUUUAGUGCUGGUAUGAUCGCAUCCGACAUACCGUGCGUUCUCCUCCCCUUUAUGCCCGCGCCUCCGUGUACGGCCCGCCCAUAGCUCCUUCGACGGCGCCGCCUAGGAACGCGGAGAAAAUAUGACAAAAGAACGGCCAAAAAUAAAAAGAAAGACCUUUCUUUUGAAAAAACAAACAAAAAAAGGAAUGCAACACGAGGACUUCCCAAGAGGUUACCCAUCCCAGUACUACUCUCGCCCAAGCACGCUUAACUUCGGAGUUCUGAUGGGAUCCGGUGCUUUAGUGCUGGUAUGAUCGCAUCCGAUAUACCGUGCGUUCUCCUCCCCUUUAUGCCCGCGCCUCCGUGUACGGCCCGCCCAUAGCUCGUUCGACGGCGCCGCCUAGGAACGCGGAGAAAAUAUGACAAAGGAACAGCCAAAAAUAAAAAGAAAGACCUUUCUUUUGAAAAAACAAACAAAAAAAAAGGAAUGCAACACGAGGACUUCCCAGGAGGUCACCCAUCCCAGUACUACUCUCGCCCAAGCACGCUUAACUUCGGAGUUCUGAUGGGAUCCGGUGCUUUAGUGCUGGUAUGAUCGCAUCCGACAUACCGUGCGUUCUCCUCCCCUUUAUGCCCGCGCCUCCGUGUACGGCCCGCCCAUAGCUCGUUCGACGCCGCCGCCUAGGAACGCGGAGAAAAUAUGACAAAGGAACGGCCAAAAAUAAAAAGAAAGAUCUUUCUUUUGAAAAAACAAACAAAAAAAGGAACGCAACACGAGGACUUCCCAGGAGGUCACCAAUCCUAGUACUACUCUCGCCCAAGCACGCUUAACUUCGGAGUUCUGAUGGGAUCCGGUGCUUUAGUGCUGGUAUGAUCGCAUCCGACAUACCGUGCGUUCUCCUCCCCUUUAUGCCCGCGCCUCCGUGUACGGCCCGCCCAUAGCUCGUUCGACGGCGCCGCCUAGGAACGCGGAGAAAAUAUGACAAAAGAACGGCCAAAAAUAAAAAGAAAGACCUUUCUUUUGAAAAAAGAAACAAAAAAAGGAAUGCAACACGAGGACUUCCCAAGAGGUCACCCAUCCUAGUGCUACUCUCGCCCAAGCACGCUUAACUUCGGAGUUCUGAUGGGAUCCGGUGCUUCAGUGCUGGUAUGAUCGCAUCCGACAUACCAUGCGUUCUCCUCUCCUUUAUGCCCGCGCCUCCGUGUACGGUCCGCCCAUAGCUCCUUCGACGCCGCCGCCUAGGAACGAGGAGAAAAUAUGACAAAGGAACGACCAAAAAUAAAAAGGAAGAUCUUUCUUUUGAAAAAACAAACAAAAAAAGGAAUGCAACACGAGGACUUCCCAGGAGGUCACCCAUCCCAGUACUACUCUCGCCCAAGCACGCUUAACUUCGGAGUUCUGAUGGGAUCCGGUGCUUUAGUGCUGGUAUGAUCGCAUCCGACAUACCGUGCGUUCUCCUCCCAUUUAUGCCCGCGCCUCCGUGUACGGCCCGCCCAUAGCUCCUUCGACGCCGCCGCCUAGGAACGCGGAGAAAAUAUGACAAAGGAACGGCCAAAAAUAAAAAGAAAGACCUUUCUUUUGAAAAAACAAACAAAAAAAGGAAUGCAACACGAGGACUUCCCAGGAGGUCACCCAUCCUAGUACUACUCUCGCCCAAGCACGCUUAACUUCGGAGUUCUGAUGGGAUCCGGUGCUUUAGUGCUAGUAUGAUCGCAUCCGACAUACCGUGCGUUCUCCUCCCAUUUAUGCCCGCGCCACCGUGUACGGCCCGCCCAUAGCUCCUUCGACGGCGCCGCCUAGGAACGCGGAGAAAAUAUGACAAAGGAACGGCCAAAAAUAAAAAGAAAGACCUUUCUUUUGGAAAAACAAACAAAAAAGGAAUGCAACACGAGGACUUCCCAGGAGGUCAUCCAUCCUAGUACUACUCUCGCCCAAGCACGCUUAACUUCGGAGUUCUGAUGGGAUCCGGUUCUUUAGUGCUGGUAUGAUCGCAUCCGACAUACGUUGCGUUCUCCUCCCCUUUAUGCCCGCGCCUCCGUGUACGGCCCGCCCAUAGCUCCUUCGACGGCGCCGCCUAGGAACGCGGAGAAAAUAUGACAAAGGAACGACUAAAAAUAAAAAGAAAGAUCUUUCUUUUGAAAAAACAAACAAAAAAAGGAAUGCAACACGAGGACUUCCGAGGAGGUCACCCAUCCCAGUACUACUCUCGCCCAAGCACGCUUAACAUCGGAGUUUCCGGUGCUUUAAUGCUGGUAUGAUCGCAUCCGACAUACCGUGCGUUCUCCUCCCCUUUAUGCCCGCGCCUCCGUGUACGGCCCGCCCAUAGCUCGUUCGACGGCGCCGCCUAGGAACGCGGAGAAAAUAUGACAAAGGAACAGCCAAAAAUAAAAAGAAAGACCUUUCUUUUGAAAAAACAAACAAGAAAAGGAAUGCAACACGAGGACUUCCCAGGAGGUCACCCAUCCCAGUACUACUCUCGCCCAAGCACGCUUAACUUCGGAGUUCUGAUGGGAUCCGGUGCUUUAGUGCUGGUAUGAUCGCAUCCGACAUACCGUGCGUUCUCCUCCCCUUUAUGCCCGCGCCUCCGUGUACGGCCCGCCCAUAGCUCGUUCGACGGCGCCGCCUAGGAACGCGGAGAAAAUAUGACAAAAGAACGGCCAAAAAUAAAAAGAAAGACCUUUCUUUUGAAAAAAGAAACAAAAAAAGGAAUGCAACACGAGGACUUCCCAAGAGGUCACCCAUCCUAGUGCUACUCUCGCCCAAGCACGCUUAACUUCGGAGUUCUGAUGGGAUCCGGUGCUUCAGUGCUGGUAUGAUCGCAUCCGACAUACCGUGCGUUCUCCUCUCCUUUAUGGCCACGCCUCCGUGUACGGUCCGCCCAUAGCUCCUUCGACGCCGCCGCCUAGGAACGCGGAGAAAAUAUGACAAAGGAACGACCAAAAAUAAAAAGAAAGAUCUUUCUUUUCAAAAAACAAACAAAAAAAGGAAUGCAACACGAGGACUUCCCAGGAGGUCACCCAUCCCAGUACUAUUCUCGCCCAAGCACGCUUAACUUCGGAGUUCUGAUGGGAUCCGGUGCUUUAGUGCUGGUAUGAUCGCAUCCGACAUACCGUGCGUUCUCCUCCCAUUUAUGCCCGCGCCUCCGUGUACGGCCCGCCCAUAGCUCCUUCGACGCCGCCGCCUAGGAACGCGGAGAAAAUAUGACAAAGGAACGGCCAAAAAUAAAAAGAAAGACCUUUCUUUUGAAAAAACAAACAAAAAAAGGAAUGCAACACGAGGACUUCCCAGGAGGUCACCCAUCCUAGUACUACUCUCGCCCAAGCACGCUUAACUUCGGAGUUCUGAUGGGAUCCGGUGCUUUAGUGCUGGUAUGAUCGCAUCCGACAUACCGUGCGUUCUCCUCCCAUUUAUGCCCGCGCCACCGUGUACGGC